rnacentral:rRNA from 1 species
CCUACGGGUGGCUGCAGUGGGGAAUAUUGGACAAUGGGCGCAAGCCUGAUCCAGCCAUACCGCGUGGGUGAAGAAGGCCUUCGGGUUGUAAAGCCCUUUUGUUGGGAAAGAAAUCCAGCUGGCUAAUACCCGGUUGGGAUGACGGUACCCAAAGAAUAAGCAGAGGCAAACUUCGUGCCAGCAGCCGCGGUAAUACGAAGGGUGCAAGCGUUACUCGGAAUUACCGGGCGUAAAUCGUACGUAGGUGGUGGUUUGAGGUCUGUGUGAAAGGGCUGGGGUGAAACUGUGAUGUGCAGUGGAUACUGGUCGACUAGAGUGUGGUAGAGGGUAGCGGAAUUCCUGGUGUAGCAGUGAAAUGCGUAGAGAUCAGGAGGAACAUCCAUGGCGAAGGCAGCUACCUGGUCCAACACUGACACUGAGGCACGAAAGCGUGGGGAGCAAACAGGAUUAGAUACCCUUGUAGUC